rnacentral:lncRNA from 1 species
AUGGCAAGAUGGAGCACGCAUCUGAGGGAGGGAAGGGUUGUACCUGGUAUUUUCCACAGCCCCCGGAGUGCAGCUGUACCCAUUUACCGCCUUUGGUUCACUAGCACCUGGGGAGAGGACAGAAGCACAAUGACCGUGUGCCUCAGGAACAGGACAGCAAGGACUUCCACCCGCAGGUCAGCCUGGAUACUGCAGCCGAGGGGUGUCCUGAGCUUUGUGGCAGAACCAGCCAGAGCAGCAGGUGAAUCCUGGGACCCAGUUCAGAUCAUCAGUAUUUGCCGUCUGGGCCCUUCCACCUGUAGUUCACCAGCUGAAACCAUCCCAACAGCGUGA